ACAUACGGUCAUACCUGUGGUAAAUUACUCGAUCCCGUCAGAUUUCGGACGUCAAAUCCACAAGGGGCAGAUUAGUAGUUAGCUCGGUGACGACUAACGAACUCCGGCUGCUGUAUGUC
rnacentral:rRNA from 1 species